rnacentral:misc_RNA from 1 species
UUUGAAGCUUAUACAUAAAACAUUGCAUAAGACAACAAAUAAUAAUUAGAUAAAAGCCAACCCUCAGAACCACUUGUUCUUCGGGCCUCCUAGUCCUACUCUGCAACUGCCAGUCAUAACGGCAAGGGAAAACCACACAAAAAAGCCACCAAGAGACGUCUUACUAUGCGUAGCAAAAUCUACACUUAUGCUACUAAACUUCACUCACCUUCUUCCCUACUGCUUCAACUACUAGUUUAACCAUCUACCGCCAUUGAUCAAAUCCACAAUUUGAUCACAAUGGAUCUAUUUGGGUCACCACAAUGGGGCUCCUAACCACAUGCUUCCCGUCCGACCAUGAAAUUGAACCGAACACAGCACCCGAAUCGUCCAUUAUCAGAUUCCGGGUAUCUGCGGUUAUUGUCACAAUAAAGCUCUGCUUCUUCAUUCGCUGAUUGAACACCAAUCUCGCUGGUUUCA